UACGAAGGGGGCUAGCGUUGCUCGGAAUUACUGGGCGUAAAGCGCACGUAGGCGGCUUUGUAAGUUAGAGGUGAAAGCCUGGAGCUCAACUCCAGAACUGCCUUUAAGACUGCAUCGCUUGAAUCCAGGAGAGGUGAGUGGAAUUCCGAGUGUAGAGGUGAAAUUCGUAGAUAUUCGGAAGAACACCAGUGGCGAAGGCGGCUCACUGGACUGGUAUUGACGCUGAGGUGGCGAAAGCGUGGGGAGCAAACAGGG
rnacentral:rRNA from 1 species